UACGGGGGGGGCAAGCGUUGUUCGGAAUUACUGGGCGUAAAGGGCUCGUAGGCGGCCAACUAAGUCAGACGUGAAAUCCCUCGGCUUAACCGGGGAACGGCGUCUGAUACUGGAUGGCUUGAAUCCGGGAGAGGGAUGCGGAAUUCCAGGUGUAGCGGUGAAAUGCGUAGAUAUCUGGAGGAAGGCCGGUGGCGAAGGCGGCGCUCUGGAACAUUUCUGACACUGAGGCUCGAAAGCGUGGGGAGCAAACAGG
rnacentral:rRNA from 1 species